AGUGAACGCUGGCGGUAGGCCUAACACAUGCAAGUCGAACGGCAGCACAGUAAGAGCUUGCUCUUACGGGUGGCGAGUGGCGGACGGGUGAGGAAUACAUCGGAAUCUACUUUUUCGUGGGGGAUAACGUAGGGAAACUUACGCUAAUACCGCAUACGACCUACGGGUGAAAGCAGGGGAUCUUCGGACCUUGCGCGAUUGAAUGAGCCGAUGUCGGAUUAGCUAGUUGGCGGGGUAAAGGCCCACCAAGGCGGCGAUCCGUAGCUGGUCUGAGAGGAUGAUCAGCCACACUGGAACUGAGACACGGUCCAGACUCCUACGGGAGGCAGCAGUGGGGAAUAUUGGACAAUGGGCGCAAGCCUGAUCCAGCCAUACCGCGUGGGUGAAGAAGGCCUUCGGGUUGUAAAGCCCCUUUGUUGGGAAAGAAAAGCAGCAGGUUAAUACCCCGCUGUUCUGACGGUACCCAAGGAAUAAGCACCGGCUAACUUCGUG
rnacentral:rRNA from 1 species